AAUCAACGGUUAUGUUUGACCGAUUUGAAAUCAAAAAAUAUUAUUGUAUAGAGUUGUUCAACGUGUCCGAAGUAGUGCUAUGAAAGUUUUCUAUUUUAUUUCAUUGUCAAACCACAUUCGACCCGAUAUAAACGCGUUAUUCGGCGAAUAACCGGACUUCCUAGCGUCGUCGUCGCCGUCGUCGUUGAACAGUUUAUCCGCUCGGUUGCGUUUUCUUUCAAGUUUUCCCGGAGUGUUUGAUGUUUCCACGCUCUCGAACUACGGUACAGCGGGGGCGCUUGUCCUUUUGCCCGGUUAAGAGGUUGCGGACAAAACGGAUUCCGAUCUCUUCGUCGCCCCCGUUUGUGUUCGUUGUACUUUCUGCAAAUAAAUAACGCAAUUGUACGAGCUAAACUGCAGCCAGCGUGGAAAGAAAUCCGAAUAAUCAGGUACUGCACAGAGUCGUGCGAUCACCUGCAAGCCUUCAACUCAUCAACGACUAACCGUAAGCGCGACUCGCGUUCGUAAUCGUGUGUACCGUGGGCCGAUGGUGAUGCGACGGCAGUACACGUUAAGGCUAUCGACUUUGGGCGCACGCCGGAUCGCGGCCGUUACGAGUCGAUGAACGGAACACACGCAGUCGGAACCGCAUGGACGAUCACGGCACCUGACCGCCAGGAGACGAUAUGGUAUUGGAAGUAGCGUAAGGCCACAGGAUAGAGAACUUCGGUCGACAUCAAGCAAAUAACCCGACUUUGUGAUGGUGAUAUAAAUCUGUAGAGUAGGACGCUGCCACAGUCACAAAUCGCCAAUAGAAAAUGAAUUAUGGCGUAUCCGAGGCUUCGUCAUUACAGGACGAUGACGGCCAUAUGUUUCGUGUGCAACCUGCCGAUCCUCAGCCACCAGGUGGGCCUGGUGUGGCAAGGCGGCAACGGCUGGGACGACAUACUCCGCGAGCAGAUGGAGGAGACGACGCUCAAGCAGCGGCUGGGCGGGCGACGGGACUCGGCCGCGCAGAUCACCACCGAGUCGCCGCCGACGGAGACGGCGGAGACGUCGCCGCCGGUGAGCCGGCGCAGGAGGCGCAGCUCGCUGGCGCAGCUCACCGACAGAC